GGCACCGUCUCAGUUCUGCUUUCCGUUCGAAGCUGUCGUGAGCGCAUCCAAUUCCGCGGAGUUCGUGUCUUGAUCGACGUUUUUCCGUUCUACCAGCGAGUUUGGAACUGUUUUGUACUGUGUAUCUUGGGACGUAUUACGCGAGUUUGUUGUUGUUGGACGUUCGUUUGGGGUCUGUCCGCGUCCAACUUAGGAGUAGUGCAGCGCGGGUUUCGUGACUGGAAUUGUUUGUUUGUUUCUUCGUGCCCGGUUCCAGAGUCUUGCCCUCGAAGACUGUUCUGCGCCGUUGUGCUACAUCCAUCCAUCAGACCGGUACGAUUGCGUAGUCGUCGUCGUCGUCGUGUUGUUCUUUUGAUGGUUUCUUUCAUGCUUGACGGAGCAGACACACUCCCCGGGAGAUUCCAGAACAUACCGGGCGUAGCUUUCGUGGUGAAGAAGUGCACCUUGGUGGUUAACCACCGACCAUCGCUUCCGGUUCUCCAGACCGCACUGUAGGAAACUGCAUCCAAUCGCUCGUAGAAUUCCAAGUGUUCGGUUCAAUUGGCGGAAACACGUUCUCCUUGUACGCUAACCAUCGUGACAUUGAAGCAAUGGGAGCCUAAAACUGGAUCAGCAUCAAACUGGCCAGGUGGCAAAUCCAAAAAAAGCGCUUAGAAACCAGCUUUGAGAACUCUCCAACACUUUUUUGCACCGUCAUGCUGGCUAAGCUGGCUACGCUGGCUACGCUUCGAGGAUAAUUGGAUGCUGCGCGGAAUAUUUGGACCCACUUGGAUGAAGUCUGUGCGGCUGUUGCAUCUGUCGUCAAAAUAUGAUCGAACGGAAUUUAAGCUCGAGCUUGGGUGCGUUAAGACAGUGAGGUCGAGUGACGUCUCUGAUAGGGGUAGUCGCUGCUGCUAGUGAAAGGAUACGAGCGUUCAAGCUUCCAUGAACAUCUGUGACACUUAAAUGGCCAAAGAAGUGUGAACAAAAGUGCCCGCAAAUUUUCCAACAAUUUUCCCAAGGGUCGCGUGAAAGCAACGAUUUCCAUCCGUCACCAAGUGACUGCAAGUGUGUGUAACUCACCCCAUUCAAAUCUAUUCCCACAAAGAAAAGCGUACCAACGCAGGAAAAGCUUUAGUGUUUGUUUUUACUGUUGUUGUUGUAGUUGCCGUUGAAUGUUGAACGUGAUUGUUGCUUAGUGUGUUUGCCGGUUGCUGUGAACGUGUGUUUUAUGAAUUCUAAAAAAGAUCGUGCCAAGUCGAAAGGGGCGCUUCGUGAGUGUGCGAAAAUUGAUUGUGUGAAAAUCUCUCGGCGCAAAAUUUGAUUAUAAUUGAAGUAGCGGAAAACGCACACCUCCCCCCACCCAAACAUAAGCUCCGUGUAUGUUGGUGUAUUGUUUCAAAGAAGUUCGGUGGGAAAUUGGUUCACAGCUGUCUCAACGCUGAGUGUGUGUGCGAGUUUGUCUGCUGGCGGCAUGUGGAAAAUCCACGUGGAGCGCGCGUGAAAGGUGGAAAGCGGAAAAUUGUGCCAAUCCGGGCUGGGGCUGGAAACUGGGCCUUGGCUGCUGCUGCUUGCAUUUUCAUCUCGUUUUCUGGCUCACUGGAAGGAGCGGAUGCAAGAGCUAAGUGAAAUAGUGUGAAUAUUUACUAGAUUUUCAUGCCAAGGCAAGCACACGGGGAAAAAACAACAACAACAGAAGAAGUGGAGCUGCCGUUAGUGUGUAAGUGAGCUGAAGGUAAUCUGGAGGAAAAAAAAACGACAACAAAAGAAGCAUACAUUUUGCACGGAUUAUUUACUCACCGAACAAAGCAGAAUCAUGCACACACCCACCUCGCUGUAGCGCAGUAGCAGAAGAAGAAAAAGAAGAGGCAUUGGACGAGAUAACAACACACAGGAGAGGAAAAUAUCGCAUAAAAAAGUACCUCUCUACUAAUAACCGAGAAGAAAUAGAAGAUCACACACAUACACACUAAAACAAGCAAAAACACAGUAUCGACACCCACAAACACCGAGAAAGAUUCUAACAUCGCUGGCCGAGCAAAGCCAUUUGCAGAAUUGAUAGAGCGAUAAAUAUUGGAUUAGCUCCGGAAUUACAAUACAUUAAGAGGUACGUGCCCAAUUUCAACUGAAUCGAGAUAGAGAAGGUAAUUGUAUACAAUCUGAGUUCUUUUCUAGAUCCGUGACUUGUUCCCAAUUUCACCC